UACAGAGGUGGCAAGCGUUGUUCGGAAUUACUGGGCGUAAAGGGCGCGUAGGCGGCCUUCUAAGUCAGACGUGAAAUCCCCCGGCUUAACCUGGGAACUGCGUCUGAUACUGGAGGGCUUGAGUAUGGGAGAGGGAUGUAGAAUUCCAGGUGUAGCGGUGAAAUGCGUAGAUAUCUGGAGGAAUACCGGUGGCGAAGGCGGCAUCCUGGACCAUUACCGACGCUGAGGCGCGAAAGCUAGGGGAGCAAACGGG
rnacentral:rRNA from 1 species